rnacentral:rRNA from 1 species
GUACACAAAAAUGCACAUAUUGUGAGCUCGAUGAGUAGGGCGGGACACGUGGUAUCCUGUCUGAAUAUGGGGGGACCAUCCUCCAAGGCUAAAUACUCCUGACUGACCGAUAGUGAACCAGUACCGUGAGGGAAAGGCGAAAAGAACCCCGGCGAGGGGAGUGAAAAAGAACCUGAAACCGUGUACGUACAAGCAGUGGGAGCCUCUUAAUGGGGUGACUGCGUACCUUUUGUAUAAUGGGUCAGCGACUUAUAUUCUGUAGCAAGGUUAACCGAAUAGGGGAGCCGAAGGGAAACCGAGUCUUAACUGGGCGUUAAGUUGCAGGGUAUAGACCCGAAACCCGGUGAUCUAGCCAUGGGCAGGUUGAAGGUUGGGUAACACUAACUGGAGGACCGAACCGACUAAUGUUGAAAAAUUAGCGGAUGACUUGUGGCUGGGGGUGAAAGGCCAAUCAAACCGGGAGAUAGCUGGUUCUCCCCGAAAGCUAUUUAGGUAGCGCCUCGUGAAUUCAUCUCCGGGGGUAGAGCACUGUUUCGGCAAGGGGGUCAUCCCGACUUACCAACCCGAUGCAAACUGCGAAUACCGGAGAAUGUUAUCACGGGAGACACACGGCGGGUGCUAACGUCCGUCGUGAAGAGGGAAACAACCCAGACCGCCAGCUAAGGUCCCAAAGUCAUGGUUAAGUGGGAAACGAUGUGGGAAGGCCCAGACAGCCAGGAUGUUGGCUUAGAAGCAGCCAUCAUUUAAAGAAAGCGUAAUAGCUCACUGGUCGAGUCGGCCUGCGCGGAAGAUGUAACGGGGCUAAACCAUGCACCGAAGCUGCGGCAGCGACGCUUAUGCGUUGUUGGGUAGGGGAGCGUUCUGUAAGCCUGUGAAGGUGGCCUGUGAGGGUUGCUGGAGGUAUCAGAAGUGCGAAUGCUGACAUAAGUAACGAUAAAGCGGGUGAAAAGCCCGCUCGCCGGAAGACCAAGGGUUCCUGUCCAACGUUAAUCGGGGCAGGGUGAGUCGACCCCUAAGGCGAGGCCGAAAGGCGUAGUCGAUGGGAAACAGGUUAAUAUUCCUGUACUUGGUGUUACUGCGAAGGGGGGACGGAGAAGGCUAUGUUGGCCGGGCGACGGUUGUCCCGGUUUAAGCGUGUAGGCUGGUUUUCCAGGCAAAUCCGGAAAAUCAAGGCUGAGGCGUGAUGACGAGGCACUACGGUGCUGAAGCGACAAAUGCCCUGCUUCCAGGAAAAGCCUCUAAGCAUCAGGUAACAUCAAAUCGUACCCCAAACCGACACAGGUGGUCAGGUAGAGAAUACCAAGGCGCUUGAGAGAACUCGGGUGAAGGAACUAGGCAAAAUGGUGCCGUAACUUCGGGAGAAGGCACGCUGAUAUGUAGGUGAAGCGACUUGCUCGUGGAGCUGAAAUCAGUCGAAGAUACCAGCUGGCUGCAACUGUUUAUUAAAAACACAGCACUGUGCAAACACGAAAGUGGACGUAUACGGUGUGACGCCUGCCCGGUGCCGGAAGGUUAAUUGAUGGGGUUAGCGGUAACGCGAAGCUCUUGAUCGAAGCCCCGGUAAACGGCGGCCGUAACUAUAACGGUCCUAAGGUAGCGAAAUUCCUUGUCGGGUAAGUUCCGACCUGCACGAAUGGCGUAAUGAUGGCCAGGCUGUCUCCACCCGAGACUCAGUGAAAUUGAACUCGCUGUGAAGAUGCAGUGUACCCGCGGCAAGACGGAAAGACCCCGUGAACCUUUACUAUAGCUUGACACUGAACAUUGAGCCUUGAUGUGUAGGAUAGGUGGGAGGCUUUGAAGUGUGGACGCCAGUCUGCAUGGAGCCGACCUUGAAAUACCACCCUUUAAUGUUUGAUGUUCUAACGUGGGCCCCUUACCGGGGUUGCGGACAGUGUCUGGUGGGUAGUUUGACUGGGGCGGUCUCCUCCUAAAGAGUAACGGAGGAGCACGAAGGUUGGCUAAUCCUGGUCGGACAUCAGGAGGUUAGUGCAAUGGCAUAAGCCAGCUUGACUGCGAGCGUGACGGCGCGAGCAGGUGCGAAAGCAGGUCAUAGUGAUCCGGUGGUUCUGAAUGGAAGGGCCAUCGCUCAACGGAUAAAAGGUACUCCGGGGAUAACAGGCUGAUACCGCCCAAGAGUUCAUAUCGACGGCGGUGUUUGGCACCUCGAUGUCGGCUCAUCACAUCCUGGGGCUGAAGUAGGUCCCAAGGGUAUGGCUGUUCGCCAUUUAAAGUGGUACGCGAGCUGGGUUUAGAACGUCGUGAGACAGUUCGGUCCCUAUCUGCCGUGGGCGCUGGAGAACUGAGGGGGGCUGCUCCUAGUACGAGAGGACCGGAGUGGACGCAUCACUGGUGUUCGGGUUGUCAUGCCAAUGGCACUGCCCGGUAGCUAAAUGCGGAAGAGAUAAGUGCUGAAAGCAUCUAAGCACGAAACUUGCCCCGAGAUGAGUUCUCCCUGAGACUUAGAGUCUCCUGAAGGAACGUUGAAGACGACGACGUUGAUAGGCCGGGUGUGUAAGCGCAGCGAUGCGUUGAGCUAACCGGUACUAAUGAACCGUGAGGCUUAACCUUACAACGCCGAAG